rnacentral:rRNA from 1 species
GACGAACGCUGGCGGCGUGCUUAACACAUGCAAGUCGAACGGUGAAGCGCCUUCCUUUUUGGUGGGUGUGGAUGAGUGGCGAACGGGUGAGUAACACGUGAGUAACCUGCCCCCUUCUUCUGGAUAACCGCAUGAAAGUGUGGCUAAUACGGGAUAUUCUGGGUCUGUCGCAUGAUGGGUCUGGGAAAGAUAUUGUUUCGGUGGGGGAUGGGCUCGCGGCCUAUCAGCUUGUUGGUGGGGUGAUGGCCUACCAAGGCGGUGACGGGUAGCCGGCCUGAGAGGGUGGACGGUCACACUGGGACUGAGACACGGCCCAGACUCCUACGGGAGGCAGCAGUGGGGAAUAUUGCACAAUGGGCGCAAGCCUGAUGCAGCGACGCCGCGUGAGGGAUGGAGGCCUUCGGGUUGAACCUCUUUCGCCAGUGAAGCAGGCCUGCCUCGUUUGUGGGUGGGUUGACGGUAGCUGGAUAAGAAGCGCCGGCUAACUACGUG